rnacentral:rRNA from 1 species
ACUCCUACGGGAGGCAGCAGUGGGAAUAUUGCACAAUGGGGAAAGCCCUGAUGCAGCCAUGCCGCGUGUGUGAAGAAGGCCUUCGGGUUGUAAAGCACUUUCAGUAGGGAGGAAGGUAGUGUAGUUAACACCUGCAUUAUUUGACGUUACCUACAGAAGAAGCACCGGCUAACUCCGUGCCAGCAGCCGCGGUAAUACGGAGGGUGCGAGCGUUAAUCGGAAUUACUGGGCGUAAAGCGUGCGUAGGCGGCUUGGUAAGCCGGUUGUGAAAGCCCCGGCUGCAACCUGGGAACGGCAUCCGGAACUGUCAGGCUAGAGUGCAGGAGAGGAAGGUAGAAUUCCCGGUGUAGCGGUGAAAUGCGUAGAGAUCGGGAGGAAUACCAGUGGCGAAGGCGGCCUUCUGGACUGACACUGACGCUGAGGUACGAAAGCGUGGGUAGCAAACAGGAUUAG